rnacentral:rRNA from 1 species
AGCAGCCGCCGCGGGAAAACGUAGGGUGCAAGCGUUAAUCGGAAUUACUGGGCGUAAAGCGUGCGCAGGCGGUUUUGUAAGACAGAGGUGAAAUCCCCGGGCUCAACCUGGGAACUGCCUUUGUGACUGCAAGGCUAGAGUACGGCAGAGGGGGAUGGAAUUCCGCGUGUAGCAGUGAAAUGCGUAGAUAUGCGGAGGAACACCGAUGGCGAAGGCAAUCCCCUGGGCCUGUACUGACGCUCAUGCACGAAAGCGUGGGGAGCAAACAGGAUUAGAUACCCCCGUAGUCCCUGUCUCUUAUAC